rnacentral:rRNA from 1 species
UACGGGGGGAGCAAGCGUUGUUCGGAUUUACUGGGCGUAAAGGGCGCGUAGGCGGCCACCGCAAGUCGGUUGUGAAAUCUCUGGGCUUAACCCAGAAAGGUCAACCGAUACUGCGGGGCUAGAGUGCAGAAGGGGCAACUGGAAUUCUCGGUGUAGCGGUGAAAUGCGUAGAUAUUGGGAAGAACACCAGUGGCGAAAGCGGACUUCUGGGUUGUUACUGACGCUGAGGUGCGAAAGCGUGGGGAGCAAACAGG